UAAAAAUAAGAAAAACUCAUAUAAAUCCCUAAUAAGGUGGGAUGUUUCUACAGGAAGCCUUAAAUUUCUGGCUAUGAGUGGACUUGAUAU
rnacentral:ncRNA from 1 species